rnacentral:rRNA from 1 species
UACGGGGGGAGCAAACGUUGUUCGGAUUUACUGGGCGUAAAGGGCGCGUAGGCGGCCAGCACAAGUCAGUUGUGAAAUCUCCGAGCUUAACUCGGAAAGGUCAACUGAUACUGUGCGGCUAGAGUGCGGAAGGGGCAACUGGAAUUCUUGGUGUAGCGGUGAAAUGCGUAGAUAUCAAGAGGAACACCUGCGGCGAAGGCGGGUUGCUGGGCCGACACUGACGCUGAUGCGCGAAAGCGUGGGGAGCAAACAGG